rnacentral:piRNA from 1 species
UGAAUGAGUGUAAUGACUGCAGUGGG